rnacentral:tRNA from 1 species
GGGACAUGAUGGAGUUAAUAAACAGAAAACGCGACAUUCGCAUUGUCGAGGUCAGGGGUUCGAAUCCCCUAUGCUCCACCA